rnacentral:rRNA from 1 species
UACGUAGGGUGCGAGCGUUGUCCGGAAUUAUUGGGCGUAAAGAGCUCGUAGGCGGCUUGUCGCGUCGGAUGUGAAAGCCCGGGGCUUAACUCCGGGUCUGCAUUCGAUACGGGCAGGCGUAGAGUGUGGUAGGGGAGAUCGGAAUUCCAGGUGUAGCGGUGAAAUGCGUAGAUAUCUGGAGGAACACCGGUGGCGAAGGCGGCAUCCUGGACCAACACUGACGCUGAGGAGCGAAAGCCAGGGGAGCAAACGGG